rnacentral:rRNA from 1 species
AUGGCGCCGUCGCACAGGAACGGAGGAGACCGGCUGAGCGCACUGCCCGACAAGGCGCUCGAGCGCGUCCUCUCCCACCUGAUGUCCGACAAGGCCGUGCGCACCAGCGGGCUCUCGCGGCGAUGGCGCCACGUCCACGAGGGCGUCCCCGUCGUCCACCUCGUCGACACCAAGUCAGGCGACCGGUACGGCCGCUCCGGUGGCGAGCUCAAGGUCUGCUUCGACCACCAGGUGACGAGCGCGAUCAUGGGCAAGGGCAUGGCGACGCCGAUCCGCGCCUUCCAUGUCAGCGUGGUGCACCCCCCCGUACGACCUGCUCGACCAGUGGAUCGCCACCGUCGUCGACUCCGGCGUCGAGGACCUCGACGUCAAGCUCGGGUACGACGCCGACUCCAUGGGCACGCUCUGCCCCUUCCUCCGCUGCCCCAUCCUCGGAACGAAGCACUCGGCGGACUUCGACAGGCACGACACCAACAGGUACACCGGGACGCACCCCCACAUCUUCGGCUGCCCCACGCUCCGUCGGCUGCGCCUCACCAACUGGACGCUCGACCUGCCGGGGACCGUGGACAUGGCGGCGCUGGAGACGCUCUACCUCGCCAGGAUCAUGGACCCCCACGGGGAGCUGCAGCAGCUGAUCACCGCCUGCCCGGGCCUCGCCAAGCUGACGCUGGAGGAGUGCCCCACCAUCAAGCAGAUAGCCGUGACGCCCGCCCGCCUGCGGAGCUUCGCCAUGAUCUGCUGUCACCAUGCCACCGGCGUCCAGCUACAGACCACCUGCCUAGAGUCGCUGCAUUACAAGGGCGGCCUUCCUCCCCGCGGCUCGUCCUUCAUCACCCAACCAAAAGAUGUUGCUCCGGUCACAAAGCUCAUCCGCCAGUGCACCAAUCUGGCGUACCUUCACCUUUCCUUGCGCCCAUCCAUGGCCUGCAACGUGUUCACCGGCUUCCUGCGUGCCAUGGACAGCCUCACCCACCUGAGCCUCCAGGGCUGCCUGCCCACCGAUGA